AUUUAGCAUCAGCUCUAUACGCGGCCUAUUUUUCCUUCAACAGAUACUACGUGUAACUUCCUUGGUUUCUUUCUCAGUCACCGCAUCCUUUUCUGCUCUCAAGAUCUCAAGAUCUGUUUGUGUUCUUGCUGCAAUUAAUUUUGGACAUAUCUUCUUCUUUUUCCUUAAUUCUUUUCUUUUUGAUUUCUCUCCAUCCUUUUUAGUUUUGCUAUUCAAUGGCUGUAGAAUCCAUUCAUCUUCAACCUCAAAUUUCAUGUUUUGUAUCUCGCUUAAUCUCUCUUUUUUCCCUUUUACCAGAAGCUUAAUAGUUUCCCAUUGUUGAUCUUCUCUUUUUUAGAGCCUAAAUGCUUCUCUAUCUCAGCCCGAUAGUGACCCUGAUCUGGUUGAUAAGCCUACUUAAGAAGAAGAAAAUUUUGGGUAUAGCCUCACAUUGCUUAAUAAAGAACGAGAUUCGAGUUUUUGCACCAUCUGCAGAAAGGCUUCAAUUGUUGGGUUUUAGCUCAGCUCUAUCUUGCAUUUAGUUUGAUUUGCAGGUAACAAAUUACUCAUAUUUGUAGCAUUCAUAGUAAGCUCGAUAAAGAAAUGCUCCUCCUACGUUGAAGCUUUAGUUUUGGGCAAGGUAACAAUUGUUAGUUUUCUGGAGCAUUCUUUUUCUCAUUCUUUCGCUCUUUUAUUAUUUUUUAUUUGACUUCCGUUGGUCUGACUUUCUGGGAAAAUGUUUUGUUGAUGGAUUUGAGCAAGGUAAGAUUAUCCUUCUAUGCCCUCCCUGUUCUUUGAAAGACUCGGACUGGUUACUUUUCUUUUUAUCAUUUUUUUCAUUUGAUGGUGGGAGGUGGGGUAUUUUCACUUUAGCUUUGUGGUUGAUUUGGUAACGAGAAGAUAAAAAGCAUAUAGAUUAUUGUUGAGUGUAUAAAGUUGUGUACUAUCACUUUGUGUUACUCUUAUAUUUUAUGGCAGCUUUAGUUUCGAUGUGUGUGCUUCACGUCAAUAAAUUUCAAAACAAGGGCAUAUUAUUCAUUAUAUCUACAAGGAGAUACACCGCAUUUAUUUCUACAGCCACCACCAUAGUUCAGUAGCUCUUACUCUUCUUUCUUUCGAUUUUCUUCAACCUUCUCAAUAAUACUUUUCCAAGUUCACUGGUUUGCUCCUAUUCCAAAGUUUGACAAAGUGUUGUUCUUUUCCUCUUGAUUUGUAUGCAUGAUAUUUUUUUUCCCCUCAUUGUAUAAUAUUGUUCCAUCUAUCUUAAAGUGUUUGUUUUUUUAAUCUGAUCUGACUUUUUGGGUUUAGGGCAUCAAGGAGAAGAGUGUAGGGCAGCAAGAAAGAGACAACUUGGAGCUCUUCAUCAGAAACAAAGCUCAUGUAUACUUGGCAAUAUGGCUGGUCAGUUCAACAUGUGGACAUGUUUCUUUAUAUGGUGAGAGCACGAAUAUCUUUUUAAAGAGGUAUGUCAGUUACAAGCAUAAUCUCCAAUAAUUUCUUGAGAUUUUCCCAAGCAGGGUCCGAAGUAUCGGUCUUAUUGGGUAUUGAUGUCGUCCUCUAUAACUAUGAUUAGCAACCUAUUUGGCAGCUUAAGAGACUGGUUUGAGCCUUGAAAGUUUUUUCACUAAAAUUGAGUUUACUUUAGUCUUAAUUUAUCUCAGAUAAGAUGUUGCAUAUACAUUCUCAACAACUCACACAUUCUCUUUGAACCUCAAAGACACCUUAUGGUGAAAGGUAUGCAAUUGAGCCACUUCUUGCUGCUAUUUCUGAAUGCGAUUGAAUCUACUUCUGCUUUCUAGAUGUUGCUGCUAUCAUAUUUCGCUGUUAUGAUAUAAGUUUAGUUCAACUGGUUACGAAUCUAACUCUGCAUUACUUUUAACUUCUAAGCUCCACCUGCGGGGUUACUGUCUUACUGUUUGUUUGUUUAGGAUACCACAUUUUUUCGAUUUCUUUUGCCUAACAGAUUUUGAAAGUAGAUUUGGCUACUUAAUUUUUGUGUUAAAGUUCACAAAAAGUACCAACAAAAAGAAUAAGGAAAAAACAAUAGCUUGAACUAUUGUGAUAGUUUUUCUUCAAGUAGGACAAUUACAAACUAGAGUUCUAGGAAACAGUGAGAAGACUUCUUAUGUGUGAGGAUAUUUAGUUCUAAAAAUAGCUCUGUACAGUAUCUACCGGUUGAAACAAUGAACAAAAGCUUCAACUUUCUUGACAAGAAAAUACAAGAAGCAACUCUAAAAUCAUAUGCUAAGUUGAACAGUAUACUAAAUGCAAAACCUUAAGUUUAGACAAACAAUUGACUUCAUUCAAGAUUUGACAACAUGGAUUACUAAAAGAGCUGAUUUAGUUUAGUUAUAAAUUUCGCAAAGGUUCGCGUAGUAAUACUUGGCAUGCUCUGCUGUGCAUUAAUCUUUAGAAUUACUAAGCCAAUUGGUAGUUGAGACGCUCCAACAUAGAGUUUAGCGAUCAUUUUGCCGGGUAGGCUGAGUUUUCUAUAUUUCUGUAUUGUACUUAUUUUUAUUAUUUAUCACUGAUGAUGUGCGUUGGUGCGAAUGAAUUCUAUAGUGAUACUUAUACUUUGCUUAUUAAAUUUAAGAAGAACAAGUAUGAUAUUUGUAUAGAGCCACAGAGUCAUGUAUUUAACACGAUCUCCUACAAUUUCUCCUUUAAAUCUUGCUGCUGUCAUAUUUUAUUAGAUACAUUCAUGAACUUCAGUUAUUGUGAUUACUUUAUUUUGAUCACCUAUCACGGAGUGGGACGUUGUUGAACCAUUUUGUAUGCCUAUGGAGGUCUAUGUAAGAAAAUUUAGCAGAUCAAGGAUGUAGUUUUAUUUUGCACCUAUACUUACCGUCUAAAACCUCUAUUAUGACAGCAUAUUUUUGUUCAAUGCGAGCUCUUUUUGCAUUUGAAUGUCUUCUCUUUUCUCCAACCUUGACAACUUCACUAAGGCAAAGUAUCGGCUCUCGACUUGAAUGAACAGUGUUAAUAAACAAAAACUUAGAUUUAUAGGAAAUGUGUGAUAAUAGCUUUUCCAGUCUCCUAGUGGGUAUAUAUCAAAAAUCUUAACAGUUUUCAUUCUUACGGGUAAGUUUUCAUAUAUUGCAACACUUUUAAGUCAUACAACAACCUCUCUUGAUUAUUACUUUCUUAUCAUACCUACUUCUCUUAAGCCUUUAUAUACCUCUUUCUUUAGUGUUUCUAAGUCCUAUGUAAUUGGAAUGCUAUUUUUUUUGAUAUCUUUUUUUGUCGUUGUUUACUGAAAAAUCGUUAUUUAGAUUAUUAGUGAACAAUUGAUGUGGAAGUAAGGAUUAUUGGUAGAAUUGCUUUUAAAUUUCUGUUUUUACCUAGGGUUUUUAUAUUUUUAUUGUGUCUACAGGUUUAUGCUUUUCUAUAUACUCAUUUCAGCCAUAAUAUCACGGUGUUCAAAAUUCCAUAUUAUAAUACUACAAAGUUUCUCUCUGGAAUUGCCUCUUAUCCCCUACUUCUUUAUGGGAAAAUUGGAAGAGUAAAAAGAAAUAGUGUGAAGGGGGAAAAAAGGCUAGAAGCAUCGUUUUUCUAAGUUCGCUUAAGUUAUAUUUCCUAGAUAUAUCAGUUAUAAAGUAGUAUCAAUCAUAUAAUCAAAACUGACAACAACUAUUUUUCUAUACAGUUUUUGCCUGCUAAAGAGGCUUGUGUGAGAAUAACCUUCAAAAGAAAGGUACCCAACAUUGCAACAAAUGUCCUCUCUGUAGAGAUCAUUACAAAGGUACUGACCACCUCUCUCUACCCUACAGAACACAUUAACGCUUUGAUAUUGUUUCUCAGCAUCGAAAUUAGUUUUGGUCAUAUCUUAACAACUCUUGAAUUGUUUUCAUGGAUGAUACCAUUAUGGAGGUUUGCUUUCAGCUACCUCUUUUUCUGUGUUUGGCAUCUUUAUGAGUGAAACAUAUCUCAUUGGAAUUGAGGGAGGUUUCUGGAUCGCUUAUCAUUGUUGAAACAUGAUAUAACAUGUAUGAAAAGGUAGGUAUCAUAUAACUUUCUAUGUAAACUGAGUCAUUAACGGCUUUUACUAGAUAUAAUAGUUAAUAUAAGAUAUAGAGUACUCUGGUUUAAGAUUGCAUUGUGACACAUGGUGUAGCUUCCGCACCAAGUUAGCCCUAAAAGUGGGGAUGGUACAUGGGACUUGAUUAGUUCUCAGAAUUUUGUAUAGUAGAAAAAGGAUGAAAAAUCCGAAUGGUGUGAUUUUCCUUUUAAAUUAUGUGCAAGAUUUUAACAUCAAAUUCGCGGUUUGUGGUCUUAUAAAGACAAACUUUUAACACUUCCAUCCCUAUCUUCAUACAUGAUCCUUGUAACUUCUUGGACCAACAAAAAAACUAGAGAAGUCCCGGGGUUGAAUUUAUGACAUAGCUUCUUGUUUUUUAUAGUAGCUGUCUAUUUCGAACACUGAAAACUUGAUAAGUGAUAUUUUUCAUUUAAGGUUCAGUUAGUAACUUAGUAUUGACAAGUUUACUUUGCAUUUCUAUUACAUAUAAGGAAAGACAUGCUACUUUAUCGAAGUUGCUAUAUGUUGAAAUAUAUUAGUACCUUUUUUUUUGUUGGUUUAUGCUGGCUAGAAAAAGACUUUAUAGGUUCUUUUAUACUUAGCAACCUUAGCAGGAACCGCAUAGAGACUAUCAUUUUGCUCUACUACUUUCAAGUUCCUGUGGAUUUGCUCAUGGGAUGCGCCAUCACACACUAUCGUUUUGGUAUAGUUCAUUUUUUGUGUUGCAGCAGCAACACCAUCAAGUCUUCUACCAAGUAAAGAAGGUGGUCCAGGUGUUACUAAAUUAAUCAGUAUAGGCAAUAUCAACCUACAAGACAAGGCAAUCUAAUAACAAACUAUUGAGAAACAGCAGAGUUCGACGGAAUGCGUAACAUGAUAGUCUUCCAUUAAGUAGCAAGCUAAAAAAGACGCAGUAAAUGAGGCUCUUGAUUGGUUGUUGAAAGGCAUCGUUCUUAUGUCCUUUUUCACAUAUUGUAAUUUAAAAAAUGAAAUUAUGCUCAUGUUGUAUGGAAAACUCUUUUGAUUCUAUUUAGAUUUGUUUACUGUCA